GCCGGUGAUCAUACCGCGUGGGAAACACCCGUUCCCAUCCCGAACACGGAAGUUAAGCCACGCUGGGCCGAUUGUACUGCACGCGAAAGUGUGUGGGAGAGUAGGUCGUCGCCGACA
rfam:Candidatus Koribacter versatilis Ellin345, complete genome.